rnacentral:rRNA from 1 species
AGAGUUUGAUCAUGGCUCAGAUUGAACGCUGGCGGCAUGCCUUACACAUGCAAGUCGAACGGCAGCGCGGGGCAACCUGGCGGCGAGUGGCGAACGGGUGAGUAAUAUAUCGGAACGUGCCCUGGAGUGGGGGAUAACGCAGCGAAAGUUGCGCUAAUACCGCAUACGAUCUAAGGAUGAAAGCAGGGGACCGCAAGGCCUUGUGCUCCUGGAGCGGCCGAUAUCUGAUUAGCUAGUUGGUGGGGUAAAGGCCUACCAAGGCAUCGAUCAGUAGCUGGUCUGAGAGGACGACCAGCCACACUGGAACUGAGACACGGUCCAGACUCCUACGGGAGGCAGCAGUGGGGAAUUUUGGACAAUGGGCGAAAGCCUGAUCCAGCAAUGCCGCGUGAGUGAAGAAGGCCUUCGGGUUGUAAAGCUCUUUUGUCAGGGAAGAAACGGUGUGGGCUAAUAUCCUGCACUAAUGACGGUACCUGAAGAAUAAGCACCGGCUAACUACGUGCCAGCAGCCGCGGUAAUACGUAGGGUGCAAGCGUUAAUCGGAAUUACUGGGCGUAAAGCGUGCGCAGGCGGUUUUGUAAGUCUGUCGUGAAAGCCCCGGGCUCAACCUGGGAAUUGCGAUGGAGACUGCAAGGCUUGAAUCUGGCAGAGGGGGGUAGAAUUCCACGUAGCAGUGAAAUGCGUAGAGGUGUGGAGGAACACCGAUGGCGAAGGCAGCCCCCUGGGUCAAGAUUGACGCUCAUGCACGAAAGCGUGGGGAGCAAACAGGAUUAGAUACCCUAGUAGUCC